rnacentral:rRNA from 1 species
UACCGAGUUUACAACUCCCAAACCCCUGUGAACAUACCUUAAUGUUGCCUCGGCGGAUCAGCCCGCGCCCCGUAAAACGGGACGGCCCGCCAGAGGACCCAAACUCUAAUGUUUCUUAUUGUAACUUCUGAGUAAAACAAACAAAUAAAUCAAAACUUUCAACAACGGAUCUCUUGGUUCUGGCAUCGAUGAAGAACGCAGCAAAAUGCGAUAAGUAAUGUGAAUUGCAGAAUUCAGUGAAUCAUCGAAUCUUUGAACGCACAUUGCGCCCGCUGGUAUUCCGGCGGGCAUGCCUGUUCGAGCGUCAUUUCAACCCUCAAGCCCCCGGGUUUGGUGUUGGGGAUCGGCUCUGCCUUACGGCGGUGCCGCCCCCGAAAUACAUUGGCGGUCUCGCUGCAGCCUCCAUUGCGUAGUAGCUAACACCUCGCAACUGGAACGCGGCGCGGCCAUGCCGUAAAACCCCAACUUCUGAAUGUUGACCUCGGAUCAGGUAGGAAUACCCGCUGAACUUAAGCAU